rnacentral:rRNA from 1 species
GAUGAACGCUGGCGGCGUGCCUAAUACAUGCAAGUCGAGCGAACAGAUAAGGAGCUUGCUCCUUUGACGUUAGCGGCGGACGGGUGAGUAACACGUGGGUAACCUACCUAUAAGACUGGAAUAACUCCGGGAAACCGGGGCUAAUGCCGGAUAACAUGUUGAACCGCAUGGUUCUACAGUGAAAGGCGGCUUUGCUGUCACUUAUAGAUGGACCCGCGCCGUAUUAGCUAGUUGGUGAGGUAACGGCUCACCAAGGCAACGAUACGUAGCCGACCUGAGAGGGUGAUCGGCCACACUGGAACUGAGACACGGUCCAGACUCCUACGGGAGGCAGCAGUAGGGAAUCUUACGCAAUGGGCGAAAGCCUGACGCAGCAACGCCGCGUGAGUGAUGAAGGUCUUCGGAUCGUAAAACUCUGUUAUUAGGGAAGAACAAAUGCGUAAGUAACUGUGCGCGUCUUGACGGUACCUAAUCAGAAAGCCACGGCUAACUACGUG